rnacentral:rRNA from 1 species
CAGCCUACGGGACGCAGCAGUGGGGAAUCUUCCGCAAUGGGCGGAAGGCUGAACCAGCCAUGCCGCGUGAAGGUCAGUGCCCUAUGGGCGUUAAACUUCUUUUGUGCGGGAGCAAUAAUGGUCACGUGUGGCCAGACGAGAGUACCGUACGAAUAAGCAUCGGCUAACUCCGUGCCAGCAGCCGCGGUAAUACGGGGGAUGCAAGCGUUAUCCGGAUUUAUUGGGUUUAAAGGGUGCGUAGGCUGUGAGGUAAGUCAGCGGUGAAAUGCCCCCGCUCAACGGGGUGAAGUGCCAUUGAUACUGCC